CAGUAAGGAAUAUUGGUCAAUGGGGGGGAGUCUGAACCAGCCAUGCCGCGUGCAGGACGACGGCCCUAUGGGUUGUAAACUGCUUUUGUAGAGGAAUAAACCUUUCUACGUGUAGAAAGCUGAAUGUACUGUACGAAUAAGGAUCGGCUAACUCCGUG
rnacentral:rRNA from 1 species